rnacentral:rRNA from 1 species
UUACAUACGACCAUACCCAGUUGAAAAUACGGCAUCCCGUCCGCUCUGCCCGAGUCAAACAGCUGAAGGGCCGAACUAGUACUCAGGUGGGUGACCACUGGGGAAUCCUCGGUGUUGUAUGUUUUUGCUCCACCCUUC